GAGCCCCAACCAGGUGCAGCGAUAUCGUGGCGCGGAGGAAGCGGGUGUUUCUUGACUAGCGGAAGACUAUAUGCUGUAUUGAGACUGUAGAUUAAGAUACUGGUGUGAUGUUCGCUCAGAGCAGAAAGUUUCCACAAGGACUACUUCUCAACUGUCUGUGGUGAAGAUGGCAUUCUUGCUUCACAGAUGAGCUUUUCCAUAAAUUGCAAGUUCGCAAUUCUCUACAUGUCUUAAAAAGCCCAUCUUGGAGGAAGAAGUGGACACAGGACCAAGCUUCUACUGCAGAAUGAUAAGAACCCCAUUUUAACCAGUCUACAUGCUCUGCAGCCCAGGAUGUGGAUACAUGCUGAUCUUCACUCCUGAUCACAAGAUGGCAUUUACUGGACGGUUUGAUCAUUUUCAACUCAUGGAGCCUGUUUUUUAAGAAUCUACGAUGCUCAAGACCUGAGAUGAUGUGGCCCCUCAUUACAAAAGGAACACACACAGGAAAUUUGCCCCUUUCACACCAGCCCUCUCUCUGUCUCUGCUUUGCUCCCCUACUCACUAUGCCCAUACUUCUGCCAACAUUUUCUCUCCCUGCACCCCCCUCUUAUGAAUCUAUAACCCAAAGAGACCAUUUUCAGAGUAAAAUUUUGAAAUUCUAGGUUUUAUUCCCAACUGUCUCAGACCUGCCUCUGGGAACCCAAAGUACUAUGUAAUCUAGUGUGUCUUCUUGUCUCCAUCUGUCAAAACAAUCACCCAGAGCACUGGUGAGGUCUCCAGUGAGGGCACUGUGCUGGAUCUGGGAGGAUAACGGCUGCACACACGUUCUAAGUCAAAGCAGUUCCUCUGCCCAAGCCGUAAUUGUUUGUGAGGCAAUCAGAAUCCUCUGGCAAGACAUCUUUACAUCAGAAUAGAGUUUCCCCUUGGCGUGUUGCCCAGCUUGAGUGCCCACAUCUUAGCCAACCUCUUGACUUGAAGCACACACCUUGAGAUUUUAGCAAAGUAUUUUUAGGAUGUGGCACUGUGCUUCCCAAAAGUUCUCUCAGUCCAUAUGUUUUUCAAGAACCUUACGUUAUGUGGUUGGUUUACUUUACAGAACAGUUGUGUUUGGGGGAGGAUGAUACUUUGGGGGCAGGGGAGUAGUGGGUGUUGAAGCUAAGGCAACGUCUUUUCCACUGAGCAACAUCUCCAGCCUCUUUUAUUUUCCAUUUUGAGACAGGUUCUUGCUAAGUCACUAAGUUGCCCACAAAGGGCUUGAAAUUACAGCACUCUAUAUUAUACCACACCACCAUCAUACUUGGCUGGACAAUACAUUUUUGGUGAAUAGUAUUCUAUUUUAAAUAUAUAAGAGGACCUCCCUAUAUCAAUAAUUUAUUUGAUGGUUUAUUUUAUAAGGCAGAACUCUAACACAUUUCUAUUUCUUAAAACCUGACACCACGAACCCCCUCCCUUCUAGCCAUUUUGCAAGGACCAUCUGAGACUGUGUGGUCUCAGCUUAUUUACACUCAACGUUACCCGGCUCUCAGGGUGUUUGGCUUCUGCCUACUUGACUCUUCUGGGCAGCCUCUGCUCAUUCCAGUUUCCUCCCACUUAAACAAACAGAACAUGUUGCUAUGUUUUACCACUGCAAGCCCAGUCCCAACCUCUGUCAGAGCUCACUUCCCUGACCUCCUGCUAAGCCAGGCCCUGCUCAGCCUCCGCAGCCGAAGCCCACAUUCUCGGUGCUCACCCUAAUAUUUGCCUCAAGCUCACUGGUAGUCAGCUCACACUGAGACAUGGACAGGGUCCCAGCACUCCU